AGUUCAGAACAUGUGACAUUUUCACUAACCAUGUUUAAAUAGCACGUAGUGAGAAAGAAAUCAGAAACCUCACAGGACACUGGAGAAGGUCUGGAUUCUUACUCUUCAAUACAGAAAAUUAAAAGGAAGAUGAUGUUCAAGCUAUCACUGAUCGGCCUGCUCUUCAUGUUGAUGGACAAUUCUUCAAGAAUAUUAGCUAAUUCUCCAGGAUCUCAGAUCGUAUCUUCUGCGACAUCUCAGACAGGCCUCAGCAGCAAAGCAAGCCUGAGUACCAAGGCCAGUCUAACUACUGAGGUGACCCACAGUCUCACAACGAUCCAGAGGCCCAGUGAACCAACCCAGAGUCCCAGCAAAUCGAGCCAGGGGCCCAAGAUGUCAACCAACAAGCCCAGUGAACCAGACCAGGAAUCAGUAGAGACCUCAACGAUAACCACGGUUACUACAGCUAGGGGAAAUGGCAGCGUACUCAACCCAAUGGACAAUAUUCAUUUUCUUCUCUAUGUAAUACUUGUGCUGUUUUUUGUGCAUUAAGGUUGAAGUGAACAUGAAUUGCCUAUAUGCUUUUCUCAAUUCUUUAUUACAGGAUGAACACAAGCAUAUCAGAAAAGUAAAAUUUAUUUCAACUUACUCUUAAAGAAAUUACCAUUAUCCUAGCUUGCUCUGGUUAACUGCAUAUUUUAGUCAAAAGUGUAAAAUAAACAUAAUUUCCUUCCUUAUAAUAAAAGCCUGUAUUUCAUAUUAAAUGAUUAAACAAGUAAAUACUAAACAUCUGUAUUUUAUUAAUUGUUUAAAGGCAGAGUUACACAGAGAGAAGAACAGACAGAGAGAUGGAGAGACAGAUCUUCCAUUCAAUGGUUUGCUCCCCAAAUGUCCUCAGCAGCCUCAAGGUAGAAGCCUGGAUGGGUGGCAAGGGUCCAAGGACCUAGGCCUCCUCUGCUGUUUUCCCAGGUGCAUCAACAGAGAGCUAGAUCAGAAGUAGAGCAGUCCAGACAGAAAUCAGGGCUCCUAUGGGUACCCCAGAUGGAAGCUUAACCCAUAAUACUACAACAUCAGCUCCCAACAUUUACAUUUUAAAUGUUUGCAGAACUAAAUAAACUCAGAAACUUAAAGUUGUAAGAGAAGAAAUAAUGUAGACAGCAUUUAACAGAAGUAUGACUGAGAGACGUGAGCAUGUGUGUGUAAGGCAGAGAAUGACAGAGUUGUGACAUAAAGGUAGGCAGGGAGGGAGAUGACGGAUGAGGAACUGUGCGAGAGAAGCAGUUUUUGUGUUUCUUACUUAAAUAAACAAAACUACGCUAAUCUGUUAAAAUACAGUGCCCUAUAAAACAUCAAUCUAUACUUCCAUGUCUAUUAAUGUGUAACAGUAAUUUAUCAUUCUAGUAAAAAAAAAAAAGGAUGCCAAUUCUGCUAACCUCUGUGAUGUAUGAUACUGCUGUUCCAAUAAAAAUAUAAAUCUUACUUCGAGAAAAA